GCUGGGCAUAGUGGCACAUGCCUGUAAUUCCAGUGGCCUAGGAGGCUGAGGCAGGAGGAUCAUGGGUUCAAACCAGCCUCUGCAAAAGCAAGGUGCUAAGCAACUCAGUGAGACCCUGUCUCUA
rnacentral:sRNA from 1 species